UUAAUUCAAUCCAUCAAAUUGUGUCAUCUUGCUUUCCUGGAGAAUAUGAAGCUACACUUGGCCCGUUGCCUGGUGUUACUCAAGAUAUAUCUGGAUACAAGAUUGCGCAUCAGCCUAGCAUAUAUGUCCUAAACACUCUGGGUGUAUUGGUUCCAAGUAUCCCUGACAUUGAGACAGGACUGAAGCUAGCUCUUGCUGGUAUCAAACUCUUGCAAAUAAUUUCUCCUUAGUUUCUAAGGAGAUUUUGAUAUAAUUAAUAUAGUACACAUGUGAAUGUGUACACAACAAUGCAAGCAUGCUUUUUUAGUUUAAGGUAUGCCAAAUCUUGCUUGGAGUUUGCUGUUGUAAACAGAUAAAAAAGAGUGACACCUCUCUCCAGCUACUAUUAAGAGAAGCCUUAGCCUAACUUAGCCAAUUGAAUUCAGCAUAAAUUAUAAAGGGCAAGGCCUAGAAAUUUUAUGCCUUGAGCUGUUCUAGUUAGGGACAAGGCUUUAACCCCACUUGUUGACUUCCAACCAUGCAGCAAAAUUUUUUCAACUUGGCUUUUUGGAAAUUUAUCAAUUUU